UUGAAUGUCGGAGAUGUGAAAUAGUGAAUUUAACAUUUUAUGACUUGCAUUGAAUAAUAAAUGAGAACAUUAAGGAAGCAUACUAAUGAUGAAUAUAAUUGGCUUUGGGUUUUUCCUUUAAGCACUUUUUGCAGAUUUUUCCUCCACCGGUGCAUGAUGGGAUAACUCAUUUAGAGUGUCCAAACAUUUUGCCCUUGAGAAAACAAAAGUCAUUGGAUUUUAGCAGCUGCUCUCCGACCGUUAAAGUUCCUCAACCUACCUGAUCAGAUUUAAUAUUUCACUCAUUAUCUAUUCAACUUCUCGGUGGGGUCUUUGUUUUAAUAUUUAUUGCUAAUGUAAAAUCAGAAACCAAUCCCAAUCACUAGAUCUAGUUAAUAAAUAAUGACGAUCUUUAAUACUUAAUCGCUGUCAGAAAGGAUAAAUAUCAAGAUGGACAAUGAGUAAUUUGCAGUGAAGUAUUAUCAGAUCAAUAUGAAUGUGUUUUGCCCUGUUAUUGAAUUCUGUUUUUCUGCUCUCCAUGUAAACCUCACAGUGUAUGAUCUUUAUUUACCCAGUCUAUGUGGACAUGCUGUUUAUUGAUAAAUAGCUGUUACUCGGUCUAAAGUAGAAAUCUAUAUGUUUCACUGUCGCUUUGUGCUCUUUGGGUUACAGGAUUUUGUGUGACCUUCUUAUGCUAAAAUCUUUUUGUUUCGUUUUUAUUAACCUCACUACUUCUCCACCCCUGCAGAAAACUUAAAAGCAUGGUCACGUUGAUUUUAAGGGCAUUUAAUUUCUCUCCCGUUUCUCUCUUUUAGUUGCAGGCCAGCAAGGAGAAAGUUAAUAGCCUGGGCUUAGAAGUCAGCCUGCUCAAGUCCAAAUUACAGGAAAAGACAGAACAAUCUCAACAGCUGCAAGAUCAAAUUCUCAAACAGCAGGAGGCUCUAUAUAGGGCAAGCCAAACUCUCAAAGACACCAGGAAAGCAGCUGGCAAUAAGUGGCAUCCACUGGCAGGUGGAGAGACAGACAUGGUGGAACCACAGGCGGAUGGUGAACCAGCUGCAGGGUAAAGCUAUGAAGUCUACGAGGUUUGGAGUGUCUCUCUUUAUACCCUAUAGAGAUUAUUUAUUUGUUUUUCUUUAAAAACACUUUUAAAAUAGACUUCCUGCCAUCUGGAGCCAUAUAUUCCAAACAAAAGCUUUUCAAGGUACAGGACAUACUGCCAGUGCAAUGUUCACAGCCCAUAGCAUACAACACUCUCUAAAUUUCUAAUUUUUAAUUUUAAUUAAUUAAAUUUUAUUUUAGUUUGUUUUAUAACAGGUUUUAAUCAUAUAUUUUAUGUAUCAUUUUAUUUUUUUAUUUUAUUUUAUAUUAUUUAUUAGGAUUAUUAUUAUUGACAGGCUACAAUUAUAUAUGGCAAAACAUUUUUUUUUUUGGAAAUUUUUCAGUUGACAAUGUGAGAAUCAAAUUAAAAUGUUAAAUAU
ensembl:lncRNA